GUGCUCACUUCAGCAGAACACUUACUAAAACUAGAACAAUACAGAGAUUAUUAUCACCUCUGUGCAAGGAAGACAUGCAAACUGGAAAAACAUUACUUAUUUUU
rnacentral:snRNA from 1 species